rnacentral:rRNA from 1 species
CACGUAGGGCGCAAGCGUUGUCCGGAAUUAUUGGGCGUACAGAGCUCGUAGGCGGUCUGUUGCGUCCGCUGUGAAAACUCGGGGCUUAACCCCGAGCCUGCAGUGGAUACGGGCAGACUAGAGGUAGGUAGGGGAGAAUGGAAUUCCCGGUGUAGCGGUGAAAUGCGCAGAUAUCAGGAGGAACACCGAUGGCGAAGGCAGGUCUCUGGGCAUUAACUGACGCUGAGGAGCGAAAGCAUGGGGAGCGAACAGG